rnacentral:rRNA from 1 species
CCUACGGGAGGCAGCAGUGAGGAAUAUUGGUCAAUGGCCGAGAGGCUGAACCAGCCAAGUAGCGUGCAGGAUGACGGCCCUACGGGUUGUAAACUGCUUUUAUACGGGAAUAACGCGCCUUACGUGUAGGGCUUUGCAUGUACCGUAUGAAUAAGGACCGGCUAAUUCCGUGCCAGCAGCCGCGGUAAUACGGAAGGUCCGGGCGUUAUCCGGAUUUAUUGGGUUUAAAGGGAGCGUAGGCCGCAUGUCAAGCGUGCUGUGAAAUGUCCGGGCUCAACCCGGGCCUUGCAGCGCGAACUGGCGUGCUUGAGUCCGCGGAAAGCAGGCGGAAUUCGUCGUGUAGCGGUGAAAUGCUUAGAUAUGACGAAGAACCCCGAUUGCGAAGGCAGCUUGCUGCAGCGGAACUGACGCUGAUGCUCGAAAGCGCGGGUAUCGAACAGGAUUAGAUACCCCAGUAGUC